rnacentral:tRNA from 1 species
AAGGAUUUAAGUUAAAUAAACUAUUAACCUUCAAAGUUAAAAACAUUUCUUAAAUUGAAUUAAACCUUA